rnacentral:rRNA from 1 species
AUUGAACGCUGGCGGCAGGCCUAACACAUGCAAGUCGAACGUGAAAGGGACUUCGGUCCUGAGUAAAGUGGCGCACGGGUGAGUAAUGCAUGGGACCGUACCUAAUGGUGUGGAAUAACUGCGGGAAACUUCAGCUAUUACAACAUGAAUUCGCGGGACCAAAGGGGGCGCCGGCAAGGGCCUCUCGCCAUUAGAUCGGCCUAUGUCCCAUUAGCUAGUUGGUAGGGUAAAGGCCUACCAAGGCGACAAUGGGUAGCUGGUCUGAGAGGACGAUCAGCCACACUGGAACUGAGAUACGGUCCAGACUCCUACGGGAGGCAGCAGUGGGGAAUCUUGCACAAUGGGCGAAAGCCUGAUGCAGCAACGCCGCGUGGGUGAAGAAGGUCUUUGGAUUGUAAAGCCCUUUCGGCUAGGAAGAAGGGUCGUCGUAUUAAUACUACGGCGAUUUGACGGUACUAGAAGAAGAAGCACCGGCUAAUUCCGUGCCAGCAGCCGCCGUAAGAC